AUGAUCUUCCCUCCUGCCUUCCUAGAUUCAUCAAGCUGCUGGAACAUGAACCACGACCAGCUGCAGCAAAUCGGACGCGGCCAGGGCAACAACACUCAUAUCACUACUGCUCCUUCACCUGCUGGUCCUGGUGAUGGAGGAGGCAACAACAACAAUCUGGAAGGAUUAAUGGCCGCGGCCAGGGCCGGAGGAGGUGGUGGUGAUGGUGGUGGCGGCAGCGGCGGCGCUGGAGAUGGUGAUGGUAACGGCGGUAGGGAUAGUAAGCAGAUGUCGAUGUCUGAGCGGGCGCGGCUGGCACGGGUGCCGCAGCCAGAGUCAGGGCUCAACUGCCCGCGCUGCGACUCCACCAACACCAAGUUCUGCUACUUCAACAACUACUCGCUC
rnacentral:rRNA from 1 species